AUUCAUCCAUCCAAAUCCAUAGAUUUUAGAUGAAAGGAAUGAAGGCCCUCUCUUUGGGUGAUUAGCCUUUGCUUAUGCAAAGAGGAAUCUACAAAGGUAUAAAUUUCAACUCACUUUGUUUUGAGUUGAUUCUUGGUUCACCAAUCUACUAGGCUUUGAAUUUCUUGGUUAAUGUUUUGUUUUUAAGUGCAUGCAAGCAUGAUUCCGCCUUUAAUUGUUAAUUGCAUGCUUAUUGAUGUUGCUUAAAAGAACAUGUUUUCACAAAAUAAUCCUUCAAGUGGUAUCAGAGCCUAGGUCUAGUAGUUGGUGAAUCCUUUUGUGUUUUGUAGUUCAUAGUUUGUGAUUUAAAAGUUGUAAUAUGUUACAAGCUUUAUUCUUGUUUCUUUGAAUGUAA
rnacentral:lncRNA from 1 species